AGCGCAGGUGGUUUAUUAAGUCAGAGGUGAAAGGCUACGGCUCAACCGUAGUAAGCCUUUGAAACUGGGAAACUUGAGUGCAGGAGAGGAGAGUGGAAUUCCUAGUGUAGCGGUGAAAUGCGUAGAUAUUAGGAGGAACACCAGUUGCGAAGGCGGCUCUCUGGACUGUAACUGACACUGAGGCACGAAAGCGUGGGGAGCAAACA
rnacentral:rRNA from 1 species